GGUAACGGAGAAGACCCCAACUCAUAUGCAUUGCAGUCCACUUCAAAAUACACUAAAUAUUAUGGACAGGAAAUUACAUUAUGACUUUGGAUUAUCAUGUCAGGAUCGAGAUCAUGAGAAAAAUAAGUCGUGAUCACGAGAAAACAACUUUUGUUAUCUCGAGAAAACGAGAAAUUAAGUCGUGAUCACGAGAAAACAAACGAGAAAAAAUAAUAGUGCGUGUCCUCUCUCGGCUUCCGUACUACGAAGAAAGAUACAGUGCGAAUGUAUUUUUGCUAAAGACCAUUAUCCCGCUUAUUACACGGCUAUUUACCUCAUAAGUAUGCAAUGGAUGACACUGUGAUGCAGUAUGUGGGGAUGACUGUCAACUUUAAACACCCCUCAGACUAUUAUUGGCAUAGUCCAGUGCAGAUUGGGUCAGUUAGCAUCCUUGCGUGCCAGUCGAGUGCCACGUGGAAACGUAUUUGUGGUUGUUGCUUUGCCAAACCCGAGUUGGAGCGAUGAUAGAUGUAACAAGCGAGAGGAAGAGUUUGGCUGUCCACACCAGCAACAGAGACUGACCGAUGAGCACUCAUUCCGGCAGAGCUCUUAACUAACUUUCUACCAAGCACGAAG